rnacentral:rRNA from 1 species
GAACGUCGUGAGACAGUUCGGUCCCUAUCUGCCGUGGGCGCUGGAGAACUGAGGGGGGCUGCUCCUAGUACGAGAGGACCGGAGUGGACGCAUCACUGGUGUUCGGGUUGUCAUGCCAAUGGCACUGCCCGGUAGCUAAAUGCGGAAGAGAUAAGUGCUGAAAGCAUCUAAGCACGAAACUUGCCCCGAGAUGAGUUCUCCCUGACUCCUUGAGAGUCCUGAAGGAACGUUGAAGACGACGACGUUGAUAGGCCGGGUGUGUAAGCGCAGCGAUGCGUUGAGCUAACCGGUACUAAUGAACCGUGAGGCUUAACCUUACAACGCCGAAG